GGGUUGUGAGGUUAAGCGACUAAGCGUACACGGUGGAUGCCCUGGCAGUCAGAGGCGAUGAAGGGCGUGCUAAUCUGCGAUAAGCGCCGGUAAGGUGAUAUGAACCGUUAUAACCGGCGAUACCCGAAUGGGGAAACCCAGUGUGACUCGUCACACUAUCAUUAACUGAAUCCAUAGGUUAAUGAGGCGAACCGGGGGAACUGAAACAUCUAAGUACCCCGAGGAAAAGAAAUCAACCGAGAUUCCCCCAGUAGCGGCGAGCGAACGGGGAGGAGCCCAGAGCCUGAAUCAGCAUGUGUGUUAGUGGAAGCGUCUGGAAAGGCGCGCGAUACAGGGUGACAGCCCCGUACACAAAAGCGCAUGUGCUGUGAGCUCGAUGAGUAGGGCGGGACACGUGGUAUCCUGUCUGAAUAUGGGGGGACCAUCCUCCAAGGCUAAAUACUCCUGACUGACCGAUAGUGAACCAGUACCGUGAGGGAAAGGCGAAAAGAACCCCGGCGAGGGGAGUGAAAAAGAACCUGAAACCGUGUACGUACAAGCAGUGGGAGCACAGGUUUACCUGUGUGACUGCGUACCUUUUGUAUAAUGGGUCAGCGACUUAUAUUCUGUAGCAAGGUUAACCGAAUAGGGGAGCCGGAGGGAAACCGAGUCUUAAUUGGGCGUUAAGUUGCAGGGUAUAGACCCGAAACCCGGUGAUCUAGCCAUGGGCAGGUUGAAGGUUGGGUAACACUAACUGGAGGACCGAACCGACUAAUGUUGAAAAAUUAGCGGAUGACCUGUGGCUGGGGGUGAAAGGCCAAUCAAACCGGGAGAUAGCUGGUUCUCCCCGAAAGCUAUUUAGGUAGCGCCUCGUGAAUUCAUCUCCGGGGGUAGAGCACUGUUUCGGCUAGGGGGCCAUCCCGGCUUACCAACCCGAUGCAAACUGCGAAUACCGGAGAAUGUUAUCACGGGAGACACACGGCGGGUGCUAACGUCCGUCGUGAAGAGGGAAACAACCCAGACCGCCAGCUAAGGUCCCAAAGUCAUGGUUAAGUGGGAAACGAUGUGGGAAGGCCCAGACAGCCAGGAUGUUGGCUUAGAAGCAGCCAUCAUUUAAAGAAAGCGUAAUAGCUCACUGGUCGAGUCGGCCUGCGCGGAAGAUGUAACGGGGCUAAACCAUGCACCGAAGCUGCGGCAGCGACACUGUGUGUUGUUGGGUAGGGGAGCGUUCUGUAAGCCUGCGAAGGUGUCCCGUGAGGGAUGCUGGAGGUAUCAGAAGUGCGAAUGCUGACAUAAGUAACGAUAAAGCGGGUGAAAAGCCCGCUCGCCGGAAGACCAAGGGUUCCUGUCCAACGUUAAUCGGGGCAGGGUGAGUCGACCCCUAAGGCGAGGCCGAAAGGCGUAGUCGAUGGGAAACGGGUUAAUAUUCCCGUACUUGGUGUUACUGCGAAGGGGGGACGGAGAAGGCUAUGUUGGCCGGGCGACGGUUGUCCCGGUUUAAGCGUGUAGGUGUGUGUUCCAGGUAAAUCCGGUUCACUUUAACACUGAGGCGUGACGACGAGGCACUACGGUGCUGAAGCAACAAAUGCCCUGCUUCCAGGAAAAGCCUCUAAGCAUCAGGUAACAUCAAAUCGUACCCCAAACCGACACAGGUGGUCAGGUAGAGAAUACCAAGGCGCUUGAGAGAACUCGGGUGAAGGAACUAGGCAAAAUGGUGCCGUAACUUCGGGAGAAGGCACGCUGACACGUAGGUGAAGUGAUUUACUCAUGGAGCUGAAGUCAGUCGAAGAUACCAGCUGGCUGCAACUGUUUAUUAAAAACACAGCACUGUGCAAACACGAAAGUGGACGUAUACGGUGUGACGCCUGCCCGGUGCCGGAAGGUUAAUUGAUGGGGUCAGCGCAAGCGAAGCUCCUGAUCGAAGCCCCGGUAAACGGCGGCCGUAACUAUAACGGUCCUAAGGUAGCGAAAUUCCUUGUCGGGUAAGUUCCGACCUGCACGAAUGGCGUAAUGAUGGCCAGGCUGUCUCCACCCGAGACUCAGUGAAAUUGAACUCGCUGUGAAGAUGCAGUGUACCCGCGGCAAGACGGAAAGACCCCGUGAACCUUUACUAUAGCUUGACACUGAACAUUGAGCCUUGAUGUGUAGGAUAGGUGGGAGGCUUUGAAGUGUGGACGCCAGUCUGCAUGGAGCCGACCUUGAAAUACCACCCUUUAAUGUUUGAUGUUCUAACGUGGACCCGUUACCCGGGUUGCGGACAGUGUCUGGUGGGUAGUUUGACUGGGGCGGUCUCCUCCUAAAGAGUAACGGAGGAGCACGAAGGUUGGCUAAUCCUGGUCGGACAUCAGGAGGUUAGUGCAAUGGCAUAAGCCAGCUUGACUGCGAGCGUGACGGCGCGAGCAGGUGCGAAAGCAGGUCAUAGUGAUCCGGUGGUUCUGAAUGGAAGGGCCAUCGCUCAACGGAUAAAAGGUACUCCGGGGAUAACAGGCUGAUACCGCCCAAGAGUUCAUAUCGACGGCGGUGUUUGGCACCUCGAUGUCGGCUCAUCACAUCCUGGGGCUGAAGUAGGUCCCAAGGGUAUGGCUGUUCGCCAUUUAAAGUGGUACGCGAGCUGGGUUUAGAACGUCGUGAGACAGUUCGGUCCCUAUCUGCCGUGGGCGCUGGAGAACUGAGGGGGGCUGCUCCUAGUACGAGAGGACCGGAGUGGACGCAUCACUGGUGUUCGGGUUGUCAUGCCAAUGGCACUGCCCGGUAGCUAAAUGCGGAAGAGAUAAGUGCUGAAAGCAUCUAAGCACGAAACUUGCCCCGAGAUGAGUUCUCCCUGAGACUUAGAGUCUCCUGAAGGAACGUUGAAGACGACGACGUUGAUAGGCCGGGUGUGUAAGCGCAGCGAUGCGUUGAGCUAACCGGUACUAAUGAACCGUGAGGCUUAACCUUACAACGCCGAAG
rnacentral:rRNA from 1 species